AGUAUCCGAUUCCUCCGCUCUCUUUUUUCUCUUUUUUCCUCGGAGCAGAAGAUUCUUCCCCAUAUGGCGGCAACGUCGGCGUUCUCUCCGGCCUCAUCAACGAGCGUUCACUCAACGGAAAAUUCACAAGGCUAUUAAAAGGGAUCUUAGGGAAGUCUGAAGUAUACGAAAAAUAAACUUUGGUGCCGGCCUUCUUGGGAGGUUCUUAUCGCUAGGCGUGGUCGCAUUGAAUCGCCUCUGUGAAGGCAGCGACUAUUGUUCUUGGUCAGUGAUCACACGAUUACCCCUUUCUCAGGCCUACGUUUCCAACCUGUUUUUCGAAUUCUUUCUGACUAUUUGCAGUGAUUUUUUCUAACAAUCUAGAACAAUAGUCUAAUUAUAUUGUUUCUGUUUCAAAUAAUCAAUAUGUAAUAUUGUGUUUUUUCAUUUAUUUUGUUUGCCUAAUUUUUAAUUUUCCUAA